ensembl:lncRNA
UAUUUUUGGAUUAUCUGUAGUCUGCUUGCCCCAAACAUGCACCCCCCGUAGGUGGGUAGAUGGAUGUUGACUAUGUAUUUACAUACUUCUUGCUCCUGGCAGCCAUCUCUGGCCACAGGCGCUUCUAAUUCUCUCCCAACCCUAAUGGUCUUCUGGGUAAUUUGGGGGAAUUAAUUGGUUACAAAUGGCAAAAAAUGGAUAAAACUUUUCACUUUGCAGGAGUGGACAGGAUGGAAGAUAGGCAACAAGCUGGUUUCUGGAAGAAGGAGCCCUGAGCUGGGAGCCAAGCAUCAUGUUCUAGUCUUGAGGCCAUGAACUUGUUAUACAUAGCCUCAAUUUCUUUGGAAAUAGGUAGAUUAUGAAUUACAACUGUGAGAACAUAGUCUCUCUAGGCCUUACUGUCUUCAUCUGGAAAAUGUUUUCCAAAGAGACAGAAUUACUACUGAACAAUUUCCUGGGGCUCUUGUUAAAGUCAGAUUCCCCGAGUGAGACCAGGUGGUUCUGACUCACAGCCGGACCCACUGGAUUAAAAGGUGUCUGAAUUUUCUCCCAUAUCUCACAUUCUUGAUGCUAAUUUCUGGUUCAAGUUCAUCCACAAGCAUUUGCUCUGUUCUUUGGGCAAGAUGCUGCCCGUCUCUGAGCCUGUCUCUUAGUGUGUGGUAGGAUCAUAUUUUAAAAGUAUGAGCUGACUGUUUUUUCUUUUGCCUUCUUGGCCCUCCCUUCCCUCAGCAGUGAUGCUCCGGAUUGGAUGUCGUCACGUCUUUCUAAGUAGUUCUUGACCUUGGAUUUUCAUUAGAGUUAUCUGAGGAGACUUUCAAAAUUGCGAUGCCCAGAUCACACGUUGGAACAAUUACAACGAUCUCUGGGAGCGGGAUGAGGCGUCAGUACUUUGUAAAAAUUGCCCAGGUGAUCCCAAUGUGCGGGCGUGGUGGAGACUCGCUGUGUGAGAACAGCGCGUCUCAAACUUUCCUGCGUAUGUGAAUCACUGGGGAUUUUGCUAAAACGCAGAUUCUGAUUCAGUAGGGCUGCAGUGGAACCACGGAAUCUGCGUGUCUGACAGGCUCCCGGAGGAUGCUGCUGCGGGUUCCAGGACCACAGUUUGUGGAGCAAGACUUUGAGGGCUCAGCCGUCUGGCUCUGCUCUCAGAAGCUACAAGUCCAUGAGAAACUCGGGCUGCGGACAUCCAUCUGGGGACUUCGCUGCCCACCCUCAUCAGUAGAAUGAGACUGGAAAGUGUGGGUACCCUCGAGAGGCUAAUAAUCUGGACCCUUUUCAAAUGGAUAGUCUUUAAAUAUUUGUUCAACAGUUUUAGUGGGGGUGGCACUGGUACUGGCAAGGAUUUAAAAAAAUUGUGACUUGAAUGUUCUGUCUGCCUCAAGGAGUGUGGGCAUUUGCCACUUUUAGAGCUAGACAGCAUCUGAAGCUCCUUCUUGUGCUUUGGGAACCACCCACUGUGCAUCUCACUAGGUGGCCCUAUUGCCAUUCAUGGAAGCUGACGUGGCCAGAUGAUCUCCUGCCCCAGGAAGGUUAGAAAAAUAUGGCCAAUGAUAUUUCCCUGGUUGUUCGUCGCUGACGGCCUUGUCAGCUGGCAUCACCUCAGGCCUGCGGACUAUGCAGGAGCCACUGCUGCUUGGAGACGACAGAGGAAGGGGUCAGUGGCUCACCGUUGACUGGCUGGGAGCUGGGACCCUAAAAUCUCUCCCCUCGCCACCUCCUCUUCCGUCACCGAAGAAUCAACAUUAGUUUCAUCUUUGCAGCUACCAGGCCUCUCACCUUUCCACUUCCUUCCAUGCGGCUUUUCCUCCCCCACUUCCUUUUUAUAUGAUUUUGACUAAGAUGGAAGAAAAUAAGAAAGAAUAUAACAGUGACCAACUCUGGAAUUUUACCUAGCAUGGUUUCUUUCUUUCUUUCUUUUUUUUUUUUUCUCUUAAUGAUGUCAGUUUCCUCCUCUACAAAAAGAAGUUUGGAUGGAGUGAUCUCACUGGUCCCUUCAGGCUUUUGAGGCCCUUCCUCUGACUCACCAGCCCCAGCCUCCUGUGCACAUCCUGGAACCUGGUGGGGAGAUGUGUCCGUACCUAAAGCAACUUCCAGUGUUAAUCCUCCACAGUCUCCUGAAUGAGUCAGCGAAACAGCAAGAGAGGAGGACAUGAGUCUGUGGAGGCCCCACGAAGGCCACUUUCCAAAGCAUGACACGUGGAAGGAAUCCCAUUAAACCAUGGUCUUCUUCAGAAUCAGCAGGGAGCCCCAGAGAGUCUCGCUUAGUAAGUCUGGGGUUCAGCUCCAAAAUGUGCAUUUCUAACCCGUAGCCCAAACUUAUUCUGAUGCAGGUAGCCCAAGAACCAAACUUCAAGAGACACAGGUAUAGACCAGAGUUACGUAACCUGGGCACCAUCGGCAUUUGGGCUGGAUGAUUCUUAGUUGUGGGGGGCUGCCCUCUGCAUUGUAGGAUGUUCAACAGCAUCCCUGGCCUCUGCCCACUAGAUGCCAGGAGCAGCCCACACUCCCCAAUUGAUACAAUCAAAAAUGUCUCCAGACCCCGUCAUUUGUCCCCUGGGGAGUAAAAUUGCCUCUGACUGAGAACUGCUGCCACAGAUAGAGCUUCUUCUUGGGACCUGCAAUCACACAUUUUGAUCAACACAAACAGGUUGCUAGAAGAGAAGGGUUCAUGUCGUCAGCUGAGGCAAAGAUACCUCCAAUGGAAGCCAACCCAUGUGAUGGGCAUGUCUUUGGUCCUGGCAACAGCCUGUGGAAGAGAGGCAGGGCCCUUGGAGAAUCCCUCUGGCAGGACUGAAUACAGCACUGCCUAACUCCCACACUCGGGGGACAGGGUGGUCCACCAGCUUCCCCAGACUUCCGAGAGACCAUUUGGACAUCAUGAGCUCUCGCAUCCACCAGGCUCCUCGGUCACUUUGGGAAGUCAGCUCCCCAGUAGCAAAUGUCUGUCUAGCACUUGCUGUGUGCCAAGCACUGGGCUGAGUGCUUUGCAUACAUUACCAUUGCUGAUCUUCCCAGCAGCCUUAUGAUGCAGCUUCUAAUAUCAUCCCUAUUAAACAAAUAAGAAAAGUGUGUCAAAUAGCGCGUCCAAGUGGUCAGCCCUGGAUUUAAGCUCAGACAUCCUGACUCCAGAGUCUGCGUUGUAACCCACUGUGCUGUACACAUGUGUGCCUGUCUCUCCCCAUUUCCUGAAAAAUACCCAUCUUGUCUAAACACCAGGGAAACAGGAUUUUCGGUGAAAACAUAUUAUAAUAAAAAUUAAGGAUGCUUUUUGAACUAAGCCUUCCUGACUGGAGACCAGGAUACAUCAACCUGGGUAGCAUUCUGCUCCCUGGGGAGCAGCAUAGGCAUGAAUCCUACCCAGGGCAUGUAACCAGGCACCUCCUUUUGUCCAUGUUCCUGACUGUUUGAAAGGUUUUGGAAUGUCAGCGAGUGGAGAGGAGCAGCGGGGGAGGAGGAGGUGACGUGCAAGAGGACAUUGAGAGGGGUUCAGGACAUCUGCAUGCAUCUACCUUCCCCACUGGGAGGUUUUAGGCAAAGUUCUCUGUGAAUUUUUACAAACACCACCAGCAAACCCCUGCGGAAUAGUAGGAACUUUGGGUUGGAUGGCACUGUGAGGAUUCCCACCGUGCCUGGCUUUAUUCUCUAAAGACGAGCAGGGGAUGAGCAAAGCCAUCAUUUAGAAUGGUGAUUGCAUCUGCGUAUGAGCAUAUUGCUACAGUAGUUCAAAACCCUUAAUUUAUAUGUCGACUGCAAAUAGGAAAAAGCAAGGGGAAGUGGAAGAGGAGAUAAGCGUGACUUCAGAGCGCCAGUGAGCUGGAAUGCCUUGCAAGGUGCUGCCAAACUGUGAUCAGUGUCAAGUUUACUGUCUUGUAGCUGAAGAUCACUUGAGUAGACAGUGUUAGAAAAGCAGGACGGUGGGUGGAGCAGGUCCUGUGCUGUGGGAGGGACAGGGUACAAAUUGGUAUAGAGAGAGGCAGGCGGCAUCAUUAAGGGCAAGCCAGUGGCGUGGAGAGUUGGUGUGUUUAGUGACAGGAAAGGAUUUGCCUUGUCUGUACAUAAAAAAGAGUGAGGUCAAGGCACAAACAGGUGUGUUCAAAUAGCAGCCCCACUGUUGAAGGGGUCCAUGGUGAUUUUUGAAGAAAAAAAAAAUUCUAAGUUGUUUGUCCAGUGGGACUUUUCUUGCAAGUGACAGAGACUCAAUUUAAACUGAUUUAAGCAAAACACAAAACAAAGCAGAAAACAAACAAAUGCAUAUAUGUGUGGAGAGGGAGGGUCAUUAAUUAACCCAAUGGAAAAUUCCAGAAGCUCAAAUGAUGUCAAUAGUGCUUUGUUUUUCUUUGUCUUUUGAUAUCACCUUCUUCUGUUGGGCACUCUCAUUGACAGAUUUUCUCUGCAUGACAGCCCCCAAGCGUGUCUAGAUUCAAGUCCAGUAGAAAGAGAAGUCUUGUCUUUGUCACUGGUCCAAGCUAAAGUUCCCUAUUUUAGUCUCAUUGGCCAGUCCUGGGUUCCAUGCUUUCCUUGAAUGAGGGGUUUAGGUCAGGCCCACCCAAACCACAUGGUCUGAGAAUAAGGGAGGGGCCUCACUCUGAGGGGGAGACGCCUCAUGGGUUCAUGAUGGAUUCAGAUGGGCUACUUGAUCUUUCCCACUCCAGGUUGAACAGUGAUCUACAGUCCUAAGCUUGCUGAUCCUGUGGUCACACAAAGUAUUCCUACCGUUAAAUUUCCUUCCUGUUCUGUAAUAAGCUUGGGCUGGCAAUUUGAUUUUAUUGACGGUCACAUCCCAAGUGAUGAUUUUUGAUUUACAAAAAAGUAAACUCCAGGAUUGGAUUUACUGAUAAAUAUCAUAUAAAGUCAUAGAGAUGAACACGAUACAGCACUUUUCUUUUCUUUUUUAAUGUGAAAACCUCUUAAAGGGGGGGCCAGAUCUUUGUGUCUCUCCCAAGUCUCCCAUCACCGUACCCAGUGGCUCCCGCAAUCUCUUGUAGCACAAGCCAACUCACACAAUCCUCAGCCACAGGAGCUCUGCCACCCUGCAGUGAGGCCACCGGACAGAGGAGGGGAGGGGAGGUGGGCACACACAAAAGUAAUUUAUUUAAGAGUGGUCACAACCACAGCUAUGGUGACAGCCGGUUUGCAGUCCUGGAAGCCUCUGAAAGGCUCAGUACAUCCUUCCCUCUUUGGGUUUUACAGUCUUGGACUAUCUUCUUAUGAUCCAAUCUUGGGUCCAAAGCCCCUUUUGGACCUUGUUUUGGCAAGUCAGCGAGACCACAUGCUGCUGUGCCCCAACUUCCCAUUUAUCUAAUUGGGGUCUGACUUUUCCCUCAUCAGAUGAUUCACACAGGGGUGUG